rnacentral:rRNA from 1 species
AGUACCGUAAUGGUGAGAAGCGGAAGAAAGCGUGAUGGAGUAAUUCGACAAAUUCCCGGAGCCCAUGAAAAGGGGGAUACCGUCCGUACCGAGAACCGACACAGGUGCCCCUCGCUGAGAAGGCGAAGGCGUGUCGGAUUUAAUCGUGUUAAGGGAACUCGGCAAAUUGGCCCCGUAACUUUGGGAGAAGGGGUGCCUGCCUGGAGACCAGGCAGGUCGCAGUGACCAGGGAGCUCUAACUGUCUAAUAACAACAUAGGAGACUGCAACUCGGAAACGACUAGUAUAGUCUCUGAUUCCUGCCCAGUGCGAGUAUCUGAACACCCAGUUCAAUGGGACGAAGGACUCGUAAACGGCGGGGGUAACAAUGACCCUCUUAAGGUAGCGUAGUACCUUGUCGCUUAAUUGGCGACUUGCAUGAAUGGAUUAAUGAGAGCUCUACUGUCCCUAACACGAAUCCGUUGAACCUUUUGUCCUAGUGCAGAGACUAGGGACUCCUAUUGGGAAGUGAAGACCCCGUGGAGCUUUACUGCAGCCUGUCGUUGAAUUACGGUUUUACAUGCGCAGCGUAGAUGGGAGGCGUUAUAUCCGUUUCUUUCGGGGAACGGGGAGCCACCAAUGAGACACCAUCCUUGUUUGGCUGUAAUUCUCACUCGUCUUUACGAGGACAUCGAUAGGUAGGCAGUUUGGGUGGGGCGCCACACCCUCGAAAAAAUAUCAAGGGUGCCCUAAGGUCAACUCAUGUGAGUCAGAAACUCACAGUAGAGUGAAAGAGCAAAAGUUGGCCUGACGCGAUUGCGCAUAGCAAGCAAUCGCGAGAGGAAACUCGGGUCUAACGAACCAAUAUGCCCUUUGGUGAGGGCUAUUGACGACAGAAAAGCUACCCCGGGGAUAACAGAGUCGUCGCCGGCAAGAGCACAUAUCGACCCGGCGGCUUGCUACCUCGAUGUCGGUUCUUUCCAUCCUGGCUGUGCAGCAGCAGCCAAGGGUGAGGUUGUUCGCCUAUUAAAGGGGAUCGUGAGCUGGGUUUAGACCGUCGUGAGACAGGUCGGUUACUAUCUAAUAGGAGUGUCAGGAGUCUGAGGGUAAGAAUGAAAUAGUACGAGAGGAACUUUCAUUCGGCGCCUCUAGUCGAUCGGUUGUCCGACAGGGCAGUGCCGAGCAGCCACGCGCCAAGGGAUAAAAGCUGAAAGCAUCUAAGCUUGAAACCCGGCCUAAAAAGAGACUCCGUUACAGGACAUGAGUAAAAGACUCGUUUGAUAGGCUCGGGAUGUACGCACGAAGGCAACGACGUGUUCAGUCCGCGAGUACUAACGUCCAAAUAU